AGGGAUACCCGCUGAACUUAAGCAUAUCAAUAAGCGGAGGAAAAGAAACCAACAGGGAUUGCCCUAGUAACGGCGAGUGAAGCGGCAACAGCUCAAAUUUGAAAGCUGGCCUUCGGGUCCGCAUUGUAAUUUGUAGAGGAUGCUUUGGGGCAGCCGCCUGUCUAAGUUCCUUGGAACAGGACGUCAUAGAGGGUGAGAAUCCCGUAUGUGACAGGACAUGGCACCCUAUGUAAAGCUCCUUCGACGAGUCGAGUUGUUUGGGAAUGCAGCUCUAAAUGGGAGGUAAAUUUCUUCUAAAGCUAAAUAUUGGCGAGAGACCGAUAGCGCACAAGUAGAGUGAUCGAAAGAUGAAAAGCACUUUGGAAAGAGAGUUAAAAAGCACGUGAAAUUGUUGAAAGGGAAGCGCUUGCAAUCAGACUUGUUCAAACCGUUCGGCCGGUCUUCUGACCGGUUUACUCGGUUUGGACAGGCCAGCAUCAGUUUCGGCGGCCGGAUAAAGGCUCUGGGAAUGUGGCCUCCACUUCGGUGGAGGUGUUAUAGCCCGGGGUGUAAUACGGCCAGCCGGGACUGAGGUCCGCGCUUCGGCUAGGAUGCUGGCGUAAUGGUUGUAAGCGACCCGUCUUAACA
rnacentral:rRNA from 1 species